rnacentral:rRNA from 1 species
AGAGUUUGAUCCUGGCUCAGAACGAGCGCUGGCGGCAGGCCUAACACAUGCAAGUCGAGCGCCCGCAAGGGAGCGGCAGACGGGUGAGUAACGCGUGGGAACGUGCCCUUUGGUUCGGAAUAUUCCCGGGAAACUGGGAGCAAAACCGGAUAAGCCCUUCGGGGGAAAGUUUACGCCAAAGGAUCGGCCCGCGUUAGAUUAGGUAGUUGGUGGGGUAACGGCCUACCAAGCCUACGAUCUAUAGCUGAUCUGAGAGGAUGAUCAGCCACACUGGGACUGAGACACGGCCCAGACUCCUACGGGAGGCAGCAGUGGGGAAUCUUGGACAAUGGGCGCAAGCCUGAUCCAGCCAUGCCGCGUGGAUGACUGAAGGCCCUAGGGUUGUAAAGUCCUUUCGACGGGGACGAUAAUGACGGUACCCGUAGAAGAAGCCCCGGCUAACUUCGUGCCAGCAGCCGCGGUAAUACGAAGGGGGCUAGCGUUGUUCGGAUUUACUGGGCGUAAAGGGCGCGUAGGCGGAUUUUUAAGUCGGGGGUGAAAUCCCGGAGCUCAACUCCGGAACUGCCUUCGAUACUGGAAGUCUGGAGCACGGUAGAGGUGAGUGGAAUUCCGAGUGUAGCGGUGAAAUGCGUAGA